AACUUUCUUACACCGAAUGCUUACAUUCACCGUAAGAAGUUGAGUGGCGGACGGGUGAGUAACACGUGGGUAACCUGCCUAAAAGAAGGGGAUAACACUUGGAAACAGGUGCUAAUACCGUAUAUCUCUAAGGAUCGCAUGAUUCUUAGAUGAAAGAUGGUUCUGCUAUCGCUUUUAGAUGGACCCGCGGCGUAUUAACUAGUUGGUGGGGUAACGGCCUACCAAGGUGAUGAUACGUAGCCGAACUGAGAGGUUGAUCGGCCACAUUGGGACUGAGACACGGCCCAAACUCCUACGGGAGGCAGCAGUAGGGAAUCUUCCACAAUGGACGCAAGUCUGAUGGAGCAACGCCGCGUGAGUGAAGAAGGUCUUCGGAUCGUAAAACUCUGUUGUUAGAGAAGAACACGAGUGAGAGUAACUGUUCAUUCGAUGACGGUAUCUAACCAGCAAGUCACGGCUAACUACGUGCCAGCAGCCGCGGUAAUACGUAGGUGGCAAGCGUUGUCCGGAUUUAUUGGGCGUAAAGGGAACGCAGGCGGUCUUUUAAGUCUGAUGUGAAAGCCUUCGGCUUAACCGGAGUAGUGCAUUGGAAACUGGAAGACUUGAGUGCAGAAGAGGAGAGUGGAACUCCAUGUGUAGCGGUGAAAUGCGUAGAUAUAUGGAAGAACACCAGUGGCGA
rnacentral:rRNA from 1 species